rnacentral:tRNA from 1 species
AACGUGCCCAAGGGGAUAAAGGAAUUGAAUUUGUGAAUCCACC